AUUGAACGCUGGCGGCAGGCUUAACACAUGCAAGUCGAACGAGUGGCGGACGGGUGAGUAAUGCUUGUGCAUCUAGCUUAUGGAUGGGGAUAACUACGGGAAACUGUAGCCAAUACCGCGUACCAUAGGCUGAGCCCAAGUGGGAUUAUGUAGUUGGUGAGGUAAAGGCUAACCAAGCCGACGAUCUCUAGCUGGUCUGAGAGGAUGACCAGCCACACUGGGACUGAGACACGGCCCAGACUCCUACGGGAGGCAGCAGUGGGGAAUAUUGCGCAAUGGGGGCAACCCUGACGCAGCCAUGCCGCGUGUAUGAAGAAGGCCUUAGGGUUGUAAAGUACUUUCAGCGGGGAGGCGUUACCCGCAGAAGAAGCACCGGCUAACUCCGUGCCAGCAGCCGCGGUAAUUC
rnacentral:rRNA from 1 species